rnacentral:rRNA from 1 species
GAGUUUGAUCCUGGCUCAGGACGAACGCUGGCGGCGCGCCUAACACAUGCAAGUCGAACGAGCGAGAGAGAGCUUGCUUUCUCGAGCGAGUGGCGAACGGGUGAGUAACGCGUGAGGAACCUGCCUCAAAGAGGGGGACAACAGUUGGAAACGACUGCUAAUACCGCAUAAGCCCACGAUCCGGCAUCGGAUUGAGGGAAAAGGAUUUAUUCGCUUCAGGAUGGACUCGCGUCCAAUUAGCUAGUUGGUGAGGUAACGGCCCACCAAGGCGACGAUUGGUAGCCGGACUGAGAGGUUGAACGGCCACAUUGGGACUGAGACACGGCCCAGACUCCUACGGGAGGCAGCAGUGGGGAAUAUUGCACAAUGGGGGAAACCCUGAUGCAGCGACGCCGCGUGGAGGAAGAAGGUCUUCGGAUUGUAAACUCCUGUUGUUGGGGAAGAUAAUGACGGUACCCAACAAGGAAGUGACGGCUAACUACGUGCCAGCCGCCGCGGUAAUAC